AUCUCAGGGUAGAAGGAGAAGAAAGAUGGUGGCAGUCAGCAAGGUUAGAAUAUUGGGAUAAACUUUUGCAAAAUCAGUUGGCUCUGAAAUUAUUGUAUUGGCAUCUUGUAAAUUGUGAUUUUAAUGAUACAUAAAUCUGAUUGGUUAA
rnacentral:lncRNA from 1 species